UACAGAGGUCCCAAGCGUUGUUCGGAUUCACUGGGCGUAAAGGGUGCGUAGGUGGUGAGGUAAGUCGGAUGUGAAAGCUCCGAGCUCAACUCGGAAAUGGCAUUGGAAACUACCUUGCUAGAGGGUUUGAGGGGGGACUGGAAUACUUGGUGUAGCAGUGAAAUGCGUAGAUAUCAAGUGGAACACCAGUGGCGAAGGCGAGUCCCUGGAAAACUCCUGACACUGAGGCAC
rnacentral:rRNA from 1 species